UGACGGACCUGGCCCAACAUCGCUGUUUUGCGUUGCUGUGUGCCGGUUCUGGUGUCCGGGUGUCGCGCUCGUUGUCGGGUUGGCUCGGUUCGCUGGGUCGAUCGGGCGAGUUGUGCCCCGUGUACACUUGUUCGUCGGACAUCCUUCAGGAGAACCGCUCUGCCAUUCACUUGGUUGGGGCGAGGAUCCUGAUCGUUUACUUUGAAAAAAUUAGAGUGUUUAACGCAGGCUUCAUUGUCGCGAAUAGAUUAGCAUGGAAUAAUAAGAUAGGACUUCGGCACCGCUGGUGGCUGCCGGUUGUGGCGUGGCCUUGUGUUGCGUCUGCGGCCGGAGCAACAGUUGCUGGUUUUCUAUUUUGUUGGUUUCUAGAGCUGAAGUAAUGAUUGAUAGGGAUAGUUGGGGGUGCUUGUAUUGCGGGGCCAGAGGUGAAAUUCUCGGAUUCUCGUAAGACAAACUUCUGCGAAAGCAUUCACCAAGGAUGUCUUCUUUAAUCAAGAACGAAAGUUGGGGGAUCGAAGACGAUCAGAUACCGUCGUAGUCUCAACCAUAAACUAUACCGACUCGGGAUUGGGCGUCGUUGACAAAUUGGACUCGCUCAGCACCGUAUUUGAGAAAUCACAAGUCUUUGGGUUCUGGGGGGAGUAUGGUCGCAAGGCUGAAACUUAAAGGAAUUGACGGAAGGGCACCACCAGGCGUGGAGCCUGCGGCUUAAUUUGACUCAACACGGGAAAACUUACCAGGUCCAGACAUAGUGAGGAUUGACAGAU
rnacentral:rRNA from 1 species